GCGGGAGUGGCGGAACUGGCAGACGCACCAGACUUAGGAUCUGGCGCCGAAAGGCGUGGGGGUUCGAGUCCCCCCUCUCGCA
rnacentral:tRNA from 1 species